UUCAUGCAACAAUCAGACCUGCAUUAACUGAGCUGAAUUAAUCACACAUUAUAAUUCAUGCAACAAUCAGACCUGCACUUACUGAGCUGAAUUAAUCAUACACCUUAUAAUUCAUGCAACAAUCAGACCUGCACUUACUGAGCUGACUUAAUCAUACACACACACACAGACCAAAGAAAAGUAUAAAUGAAAGAGAAUCUGUUAUUUAAAAAAAAAAAAGAUAUUGCCGCCAUAUCAAAUGUAAAGCAUAUAUCUGAAGUUGCCUUAACAUUGUAACAUAGUUUAGUUAAAACAAACAUAAGGCACUAGCUACAGGAAAUAAGUCUUCUAACAAAAAUGUCAAAAAAAAUCAAAAUUAGAUCCUAGCAUUCAAAAACUGACUAGAACAGAAUUGAAAUUUCAAUCAAGAGUCCAGACUUACCGUUUUUCAUAAUAAUGGUUAAUAAAAGUAAAAUCAUUUAACUGUUUUUCAUAAUAAUGGUUAAUUUAAAAAAAAAAUCAUUUUAAGACCAGACUAAAAUUAUCUUUUUACCUUCUAUGAAAUUAAAAUGUUUUAUUAGUCCGAGUCUAUGGUAGAAACUAAAAGAAAAUUUAGCUCCUACGUCCUAUGAGUUAAUGUGAGAAUUGUGGCCUCUCUCUUUCCUCUACACUGCUUGAUAAUCUGGUGGCUUCAGUUUGGUCCCAGUUCUUGAUAACAAUACCAUAGUUAGGAAAGUUCUCUGAGGUCUGCGUGUCAAAGUAAAGUAUACAAAACAUGACCAGUAACUUCUGGGAGCCGAGGUCUCACUUAGACAUGUACAUUAACAAAAGUGAUCAUACACAUCCUACGCAUGUAUUUAAACAAUAAUUGUUGCUAUAGUCAGAUAGGAGUAGAAUGUAGUCAAUAAAAGGUGAAACAUCUUUACAUAAUGACUUCUAACAGAGAAUGUCUGUCAUCUCAAUGUAUAGUGCAAACAAAAUAGUCAAAUAAAUAUUGCCAUACAGAAUCAGAAUCUGAGUCCUGUGUUCCAGCUCAGCAUACUAAGAUGUAAAUGUAUACAGAAACAAAAAAAAAAGUCAAGCAACAAUCAGUCAGACAAAUCUACUAAACACUGAGUGUGAACAUUGUGAAUAAUGCCAGCCAAUGUCAAAUACAAAACAACUGACACCAAGUAGUGACACACAAAUGUUAGGGAGUGACACUCAUAAUAAUUACUUAAGGUUUGUUUAUACUUUGUUUAUACAAAUGUUCUCUCAGCAAAUUCUUAAGAAUGGAUAUGAACUUACUAUACCUAUGAAAUAAAACUUUGAACUCGUUUACUUGAGAGAGAAACAAAAAUUUAGACCAGGAGUUGAGUUAUAGGUGCCUAUAGUCCAGGAGUUGAGUUAUAGAUGACUUUGGUCCAGGAGUUGAGUUAUAGAUGACUC